GAUGAAGAACGCAGCGAAAUGCGAUAAGUAAUGUGAAUUGCAGAAUUCAGUGAAUCAUCGAAUCUUUGAACGCACAUUGCGCCCCCUGGUAUUCCGGGGGGCAUGCCUGUUCGAGCAUCAUUUCACCACUCAAGCCUCGCUUGGUAUUGGGCAACGCGGUCCGCCGCGUGCCUCAAAUCGACCGGCUGGGUCUUCUGUCCCCUAAGCGUUGUGGAAACUAUUCGCUAAAGGGUGUUCGGGAGGCUACGCCGUAAAACAACCCCAUUUCUAAGGUUGACCUCGGAUCAGGUAGGGAUACCCGCUGAACUUAAGCAUAUCAAUAAGGGAGGA
rnacentral:misc_RNA from 1 species